rnacentral:rRNA from 1 species
UACGGAAGGCAGCAGUGGGGAAUAUUGCACAAUGGGCGCAAGCCUGAUGCAGCCAUGCCGCGUGUAUGAAGAAGGCCUUCGGGUUGUAAAGUACUUUCAGUCGUGAGGAAGGUGUUAAGGUUAAUAACCUUAGCAAUUGACGUUAGCGACAGAAGAAGCACCGGCUAACUCCGUGCCAGCAGCUGCGGUAAUACGGAGGGUGCGAGCGUUAAUCGGAAUUACUGGGCGUAAAGGGCACGCAGGCGGUUAAUUAAGUUGGAUGUGAAAUCCCCGGGCUUAACCUGGGAAUGGCAUUCAAGACUGGUUAGCUAGAGUCUUGUAGAGGGGGUAGAAUUCCAUGUGUAGCGGUGAAAUGCGUAGAGAUGUGGAGGAAUACCGGUGGCGAAGGCGGCCCCUGGGACAAAGACUGACGCUCAUGUGCGAAAGCGUGGGGAGCAAACAGGGAUUAGGAUACC